CUAGAGUUUUGUUUUUUUUGUUUGUUUGUUUGUUUUUUUGUUUGUUUUUUUGUUUUUUUGGUUCUUUUUUUCGGAGCUGGGGACUGAACCCAGGGCCUUGCGCUUCCUAGGCAAGCGCUCUACCACUGAGCUAAAUCCCCAAGCCCCAGAAUGCUAGAGUUUUGACGGGGGUUGCACUGACUCUGCAGAUGACUUUCAGCACGUCUAGUUCCACAAGGCUCUGCCAGAAGAUGAGUGUGGGAGGGGCUUUCCGUCUUCUAGUAUCUUUUUCUUCAGUGUUCCGGUUUUCACUGUAGACAUCACUCACAUCUUUUGUUUAUACUUAUUCCUCAUAUUUAAGUUUUGAAUCUAUCAUGAGUGGGUUUCUUUUGUAAGUUAUCAUUGGCAUGCAAAGAAAAGCUAUGGAUUUUUGUACAUUGAUUCUACAUCUUAUGUUGUUGAAAAUAUUUAUGUGAUCUAAGUUUCCUCAGGGACAGUUUAAGAUUAAUUGCAUAAGAUCAUGUGCAUCUGCGCAUAGAGAAAAUGUCAUGUUGUCUUUUCCCAUUUGUGGCUCCUUUGUUUCUUGUAUUGUUCUCUGCACUGAGAGCCAAGAGAGAACACAUCUGAACUACCUUCUGAAGUGUGGUGACCAGAUGGCCAGCAGGAAGCAGCUUAAGGGGGGAAGAGUGUACUCCAGCUCACGGUUGGAGGGGAUGGCCCACUGUGUUAGGGAAAGCACCUCGUCAGGAAGAGCUCUCAACUGUGGCAGCAAGAACGUACAGCCUCUGGCUCACAACUGAAGAGAGAAGGCAGCAGGGAUAAGAUAGGACCUGAAGAGUCUAUAAACAGCCCCCUCCCCAGCUCACCCCUGGGACCCACACCUUGCUGCCAGGCUUCAUUUUACUGAGGUUUCCUAAGGCUGCGCAGCCAGCUACAGAGCUCAUGAAAGGCGCUAUCCUGACCAAACAUGACAGGACCUUGCCUGGUUCCUGAUUUUAAGUUUAUGGGUGUUUGGCUUGCAUGUAUGUUUGUGGACCACACAUGUGCAGUGCUCACAAAGGUCAGAAAGGAGGCAAAUUUGAUCCUCUGGAGCUGGAGUUACAGAUGGUUGUGAGCCACCAUGUAGGUGCUGGGGAUUGAAUCCAGGUCUUCUGGAAGAGGAGCCAGUGCUCUUAACCACUGAGCCAUCUCUCCAGCCCAUUGUUCCUAAUUGUAGAGGAGAUGCAUUCAGUCUUUCCCUAUUUAGUAAUGUUGGCUUAUUAUUUCCCUAUUUAGUGUAAGUUUGUCCUAUUAUAACAUCUGCUGUGCUGACAUAUGUUCUGUCUAUUCCCAGCUUCUUCAUGGUUUUUAUCAUGAAGCGCUGUUGAGCUUUACCAACGGCCUUUUCUGCAUCUAUUCAGACAAGGAGAUGACUUCUGUCCUUAACCGGCACACGGAUUGGUCUGCAAAUACUGAACCAUCCUUGCAUCUGGACUGAGACCAACUUGGACUGGUGUAGGGAUUUCCUAGUGCAUUCUUGAACUUGGUUUCCAUUCGGUUGAGAAUUUUUGUCCAUAUUCAUCAGGACUUGGUCUUCUGUCGAUGUGUCCUCGUCCUGUUUGUAGCGUUGCUAUGACAGAAGCAAUCUGCCCGUGUCAUCCUCUUUGUUUCCGGAAUAGUUUGAGGAACAUAGAUGCUAGUUGUUCAUGGGAGAUCUGGCAGCAGGCAGCAGUGACUUUCUCUGGCCUGGGUUUCCCUCUGUUGGGAGGCUCCAUUGCUGCCUCAGCACACUGCUUCUUGGGGAACUGCUUACAUUGCUCUCAUAUUCUUGAUCUAAUUUUGGUCGGUCACAUGUACCUUGGAAAUUAUCCAUUUCUUCUAGAUUUUUCAGAUUUUUUUUCUCUCUCCAGGAAAGUAUGUUUCCAAAGUGUUCCCCAUUAAUGCCCUGGAUUUCACUGGAAUCGGUCAUAAAAACUCCCUUUUAACCUCUAAUUUUAUUAACUUGGGUCUUCUCUUCUUUGGUUAGAUUGGCUAGGGAACCUGUCAAUCUUGAUCACCAUUAUUCCAAAGAAAUAACAUUUUUAAACCAGUUUUUGUAUUUUUUUUUAGUUUUCAUUAAUUUCUGCCCUGAUUUGUAUCGAUUCUUGUCAUCUUCACUUCUUCUUACUAGUAAAGAAGAGACUUGGAGAAGGUCAAGAUGGCAUCUUACCUAUCCCGGUACCUUUGAAUUUGGGAACUGGGGUCAUGAGUUUUUUGGAAGAUUCAUGUUACCUUGCUGUGCUGGUUGGUUUUUGUCAAAUUAACCGUGGGAAGAGGGGCCUUUCAGCUGAGGAAUUGCCUCUUGGAUUGGCCUGAGGGCAUGUCUGGGAGGACAUUUUCUUGUUGAUUAAUGUGGGAGGGUUCAGCCCGCUGUGGCUGAAAGGCCAUCUCCCAGCAGAUAGCACAUAAAAAGGCAGUGAAGUGACCUGGGGAACAGGCGGUCCUCCCUACCGUAUGCUUCAGUUCUUGUUUCCAGGCUCCUGCAUUCAGGUUGCUGCCUCGGCUUAGCUCAGUGAUGGACUAUGAUGAGGGUGAGGUGGGAUACAGGCAGAUAGGAAGAGCAGACGCUGCUUCCUUUUUUGUUGUUGUUUUGUUUGCUUUCAGUACACAGUUUCUCUGUGUAGCCCCGCCCUGGAACUCACUCGGCAGGCCAGGCUGACCUCUGACCCAGGGAUCUGCCUGCCUGUCUAGGAUUAAAGGCAUUUGCCACACCUAGCAGGGAAUGGUUUCUUAAGAUGGCUGCUCUUGGCUCCCAGGGACCAUUGUGGCAGAAUAACAGUGGGAAAGAAAUGCUUGCCCAGGGCUGGGACCCGGGUGGGAUGGACAGGGGAAAUGGAAGCACACAACUCAGAGACCAUUGGUCAGACUCCCUGCUGAGAGACCUCUCCCUUCCUAAGGGGAACUGUUGGCUCGCCUAUAAACAGCCUUUGCUCUUGCUUUCUCAGGACUGAAUAGACAAUUCUUUGCCUGCCUCACAGGAGAAACUCAGGUACAAACUCUGCUGCCCACACCACAACUAUUGGUGAUUGUAUUUGUAACCUUUUCCUCCCCGAGUUGCUUUUGGCCAGUGUUUUGUCACAAUGACAAAAAGCAAAUUAGGGCACUUGCUUUUUCAUGUCUUAUGUUCUGUGGUAUGAAAUCUCUGCACACUGCACUUGCAUUUGUGCAUCUAUUGGUUUGGAUCCCUACCGGCCUCAGAGUCAAUGUCGUCAAAUUCCAGCGAUACUCAGUUGAUGAAGUCUGCUCCCUCACAUCAAGGUGGGACUACCUUUCCCUGUAUAGUUCACUCCUGAGCCUCCUGAGUCAGUCUCUCACCCUGGCGCUCUGAUCUCAGCCACUGGCCGCAGCCAUAUGAGCUGGAAGGCAACUCCAUAUCCUGUGGCAGAAGCCCUGAGGGGAGCUGGGUUCAGCUCACCUUUCUUCUUCUCAGUACUUCAUCUUUGUGCUUGUGUGCACUUUUGAACUGUCCUAUGAUGCCUUCAGUGAACUUCCAAAGCCCCUCAUUUCUUUGUUGUUGUUGUUGUUAUUAUUAUUUUACUUGAAACAGGGUCUCUCGAUGCAGCCCUGACUGUUCUGGAGCUCUCUAUAUAGACCAGCCUGGCCUCUAACACACAGAGAUCCUCCUGCCUCCCAAGUGCUGGGAUUAAAGGUGUGUAUCACAAAACCAGCCCACUCCUCUUUAGAAGCUUUCCCCAUCUCCAGUAUUCUAACCCUUCUCUUUCAUGGGUCGUGUGACGGUCCUUGAAGGAUUGAAGAUAUUCUAAACAGACAUUUGUGCCCCUUCCUCUAGCUAUCAAACUAUUGAAACAGUGGUCCCCAAAAAAUUGGAAUUUCCCGAGAAUCUUGAGUUGUUGUUACUGGGGAAACAGAUUCCCUUUGGGGGACUGUUAGUCUCGUUAUUUAAAAGAAUUUAGAAAUAGGCUCAAAAAUUUUUUUUAUUUGAGCUUAAGAGAAAAACAGCAUUACUUAAUUGAGAAUCCCAGCAGCUGGUAUGCCUUUCAAGUUAGAUGUGGAAUACAGAUAGUUUGUUAAGAAAGGAAAGAGCAUGCCCAAGAGUGGAUGUGAGCCUGUGAGCUAAGGGGCAAGUCCCCAAAGUCUGGCCAUGCAUCGUGCUGACAUUCAUUCCCACCCACACCGGCUUGCCAUUGUACAGUCCUGCCUCUGCUGUUUAUAUCCCCAAGGCUUUGGUUCCUGCAGGCUUUGUCCCAUGCUGCCAACAAGAAGCAGCAGGAAGUUGUCUCUUGAACCAGAUUCUGCCCAGUUUUGACAACUUUUCAGACUCCCUUGUAAGAGACAAGCUACAGUAGAGAUAAUCUUGUCAGUGAUGAGCAGGACCACACCUUGACCUGGACCGCUCCGCUCUGCCUAACUCUUGCUUCCUAUUUUUGUUGUGGAGUUCUCUUGUAGAGAGAUGGGACAUGGGGCCUUUCUGCCAGGAGACAGCAUUUAUCCGUGGUGACACUGGUUCACAGGAUUCACAUCCAAAGGCUGAGCACAGCAGAGCGAGCAUCCUUACAUGGCCUUCCUGGGUGUGUCCCUUUAUACUUUAGUCUUUGUAUCCUUUCUAUGGUAAACUAUAUUCUGACUCAGUGUCCUGACAGAGUCCUGCAGGAGGUGUAGAUGCUGAUUAUGGCAGUCAGCUUCCUUUUGUUUCUGGAAAGGCCCUUAUCACAUUUGACAGGGACCUGAAGAAAGCCUGGAAGUAGGACACUGGGCCUCUUUGUCACCCUUCCCAAUGUGGCCACCUGGAACCAAUGUUUUCUUAAUUUUCACUAUUACCUAUCUCUUGAAUUUGUCUUUUGAGGACAGGUGCCCAGCACAGCUCGGUACAACUCCUGGGGCCUGCAGUCUGACUACUAGUAAUAAUUUUGGCCAAGUUGGGACCAGAAGUAAACACCCAUUUGGGAUGUCAGCCACUAGGAGGAAGUUGACCCAGGAUGGAGGAAAGCAGCUGAGAGACCCAGACAUUUGCUGAAGUCAUUUUAACUCCAAGAACUUCUCCUCCCACUCCAACCGGCGUCAUCUGGUUUUUACCUCUAUUUGGUGCAACAGAGAAAUGAGUGUUGAACUUUGUUUUGGACUCUUAAGAAACCAGAUCAGGAGUUUUCUGAGCCACUGCACUUCUGUUGAACCUUCUGGCCUAUUGCGUCAUUUCCAGGACAGGCCUUGGCAGUGUGGCAGCUAUAUUAAACCAAUUUUGAGUUCCUCUGAACCAUGUAGGCGUCUGCUAUGUAACAGUAAUGGAGUUCUGUUGAGCCACACGCCUUCUGACAAAUCAUUAGCAACAGAAAAGGUCGAAGGUGUUGAAGAGAUCUCUGAUCCGAAUUGUCUGCUGCAUACCAAGCCUGGAGGCCAUUACAUCAAGUGCAAGAGGAGGCUUCACGAAGGACUCGCCAUGUCAUGGACAGAGAGAUUCAGCAUUACCUCUUAUUGGAACUCUAAUCUCAGACUCUCUCCCCAGUUCUUCUCUUUCUCCUGUUGACUAUCUUCUGCAUGUUUGUAAAGUUACCCAGAGCUGUGCGUUCAUGUCCUAGUAGUUCAAUAAAUGGCAAAUUUCCACAUAUCCUCUCUUCUAGAUCUUGAAUCCUAUUCAGAAAAGCAUUAGGAUUGCUUCUUACACCCGGAGCAUCUCUGCCUUUCUCAGUCACCCUCUGUGCCUCCACUGUUAGAAAUGAGGUCAUCUCAGCAUAUGAUGCAACUGAGAAAUGGUUGAGCUAUGAAAUUCAAGCCUGUUUCAUCUAGAUCUAACACCUAGCACCCACACAAAAUUGCUAUCUAGACAGUGGCACAUGAGCCAUUGGGUUGCUGGUCUAAAUACUUCAGUGAACGUGUCUAGAUCUGCUGGUAGUGAAUGGUACCCUGGUUCAUGGCCAAAUAAAGCACAUUAAAUCAGUGUGAUAUUUGGGAUGUUGGUAUAGUGUAAUAUGUUACUCCAAAAUCCAUUUUGAUCAGAAGUGCAUGGUGUUCAUGAGCCUGUGGGAUACCAGUCUGGGCUCCACUCAGUAUGUCUUCCAGUCAUCUGAAUUAAAGGACCACUGUGAACAGCUUCUGUGAUUGUACAUCUAGUCUCUCGUCCACUGUGAUCUUGUUAGAAUAGAAAUAAAGGUCCAUCCUAGUUCGGCAGGUCAAUCACCUGGCUAAAAGACCGCGUUGAAGAAGGUCAUGCUAAAGAGGUAGGCAGAAUAAUCAUUUCUUUAAUGGGAUAAUUUAAUUUUCCUUCCCAUAAACCCUGCCCCUACCAGAGUAGCUUACUGGGCCAUAGCUGUAGGGCGUUGUAAGUCUGCAAGCUUUUCUAAAUGAUUCAGGAAAGUGCAACUUCUCCUUUACUCUUAUCUCUUGUCUAAGCAUUAUUUUGCUAAUGCUCUGAGUUGCCCCAACAUUUUGGGCUUCCUUACUCUUUUUCUAAAACACCCCUCUCUGCCUUACGCCAAAUGUCCACCAUGUGUCUGACCUCCAUGCUGGCCUGAACAGUAUAACUUCGUCCCCUUUCUCCCCUUCACUCUCCUCCACAGGUAGUUCUGAAACUUAGAGCUUGCCUAUCCUGGAGUUUUUCUUUUAAGCACUAAUAAAAUUUACCACCCACUUCUAUUUCUGUCCAUUCUUAAGUUUUUUUAAUUAAGAAUCCCAAGACGGGGGUGCUGGAGAGAUGGCUCAGAGGUUAAGAGCACUGUCUGCUCUUCCAGAGGUCCUGAAUUCAAUCCCCAGCAACCACAUGGUGGCUCACAACCAUCUGUAAUGGGAUUCAAUGCUCUGUUCUGGUGUGUCAGUGACAGGAUG
ensembl:lncRNA